UUUUAAGAUUCAAACCCAGGUUUCCUGGCUUUGGAGCCAGGGUCCUUCAUUAUUUCUAGCUUCUGCUUCCCAGCCCAUCUCUGCCGCUUCCCUCUGCUGGUUUGCAUCCUGGGAUUCCUGUGAAACCAGGAGAAUUUCUACCAGGUCCUUCGACUGGAUGAACUCUGGGGUUUUACGGAAGCAAAGUUGGAAAAAACAAGGCCUGCUGCCAAAUGCUCAAGCAUUUCUUCAGAUGUAGUCCAUUUGGAGCGCCCUUGAAUUUUAGCAAAAUGAAGAUACCACGCCACGGAGUGGGGUCCCCCGUGUUUAGAGGGACGAUGUGGACACCCUGAGUUCAUAAGACCUAGGAGCGUGUGGCCCCCCAGGCUGGCCCUGGGGAAAAUGAACUUCAUUGACAGAGGUCAGCCUCACGUCACAAGUGACCCAUUGGGCUGUGAUGCUGUGGAGACCUAGGAGGUGGGCCAGGUGUAUCCUCAGGGCUGGAAUGUAACCAACCAGACAGGUGACAGUACCAUCAGCUGAAGACUUAACCUGCCUGAGUGAUGUCUCAGCUGAGCCAAGCGUUCUGGCCGCAGGUCUGAUUCACAGAGAGUCUGGGCCAGUUUCUUCCCUAUGCUCCAAUUCUAGGCUCAUGGUUCAUCCUUCCGAGAAGACACUGGCUUCGGAUAGAGGCUUUUCUGCAGGGACAGAUACACCGACCAGCCAGCUCAAGGCUGUCAGUCGUGUUGAAAACCACAUUUCUCAUUCUGAGUUAAUAAGUGAUGUCUGCUUUUGACAGUGAUUUUGGACAGCUCGAGCCAGCCCCGCCAGUACCAGGCAUUCCUGGGGCAUCUUCCCGAUACAGGGAUUGAACUCUCAGCUCCUGCAUUGGCAGGCGGAUUCUUUACCGCUGAGCCCCCAGGGAAGCCCAGAAUUGACACACAGCCCUGGACAAGUUUAACGCGUACAGCAUGACGAUUUGACUCACACACGUCAGGAAAUGAUGACCACAGUAAGUUUACUGAACAUCCAUCAUCAGAG
ensembl:lncRNA